GACGAACGCUGGCGGCGUGCCUAAUACAUGCAAGUCGAACGAACCGAUUGAGGAGCUUGCCCUUCAUGAAGUUAGUGGCGGACGGGUGAGUAACACGUGGGUAACCUGCCCUUCAGUGGGGGAUAACAUCCGGAAACGGGUGCUAAUACCGCAUAAUGCAUCGGAUUCGCAUGUUUCUGAUGCCAAAGAUUUUAUCGCUGAAAGAUGAGCUCGCGUCUGAUUAGCUAGUUGGCGGGGUAACGGCCCACCAAGGCGACGAUCAGUAGCCGGACUGAGAGGUUGAACGGCCACAUUGGGACUGAGACACGGCCCAG
rnacentral:rRNA from 1 species